rnacentral:rRNA from 1 species
CUGGCUCAGGAUGAACGCUAGCGGCAGGCCUAACACAUGCAUGUCGAGGGGUAAUUUCGAUCUUCGGAUCGGAAACGACCGGCAAAUGGGUGAGUAAUACAUAUGCAACCUGCCCGUAGCUGGAGAAUAGCUUCCGGAAACGGAAAUUAAUACUCCAUAAUAUUCUAGUAUCGCAUGUUAUUAGAAUUAAAGCUUCGGUGGCUACGGAUGGGCAUAUGUCCCAUUAGCUUGUUGGUGAGGUAACUGCUCACCAAGGCUACGAUGGGUAGGGGGUCUGAGAGGAUGAUCCCCCACACUGGUACUGAGACACGGACCAGACUCCUACGGGAGGCAGCAGUGAGGAAUAUUGGUCAAUGGGCGAAAGCCUGAACCAGCCAUGCCGCGUGCAGGAUGACAGUCCUACGGAUUGUAAACUGCUUUUCUGCAAGAAGAAAUGUUCCGACGUGUCGGGAUUUGACGGUAUUGCAGGAAUAAGCAUCGGCUAACUCCGUGCCAGCAGCCGCGGUAAUACGGAGGAUGCAAGCGUUAUCCGGAUUCAUUGGGUUUAAAGGGUGCGUAGGCGGAUUAGAUAGUCAAAGGUGAAAGCCUGCAGCUUAACUGUAGAAGUGCCUUUGAUACUGCUAAUCUUGAGUACAGUUGAGGCGAGUGGAAUGUGUAGUGUAGCGGUGAAAUGCAUAGAUACUACACAGAACACCAAUUGCGAAGGCAGCUCGCUAAGCUGUUACUGACGCUCAGGCACGAAAGCGUGGGGAGCGAACAGGAUUAGAUACCCUGGUAGUCCACGCUGUAAACUAUGAUCACUAGCUGUUGGCGAUAAAUUGUCAGUGGCUCAGCGAAAGCGUUAAGUGAUCCACCUGGGGAGUACGAAUCGCAGGUUGAAACUCAAAGGAAUUGACGGGGGCCCGCACAAGCAGUGGAACAUGUGGUUUAAUUCGAUGAUACGCGAGGAACCUUACCUGGGCUUAAUUGUAGCGCGACGUCUC